CUGUCACAGAAUAGGAAGAUGAUUUCACUUUGGAAUCUGCCAAUGAAGGAGUACUGUCUCAAGCCAAGAAUGGAUGCUCCAGUAUGCCAAUGGGACAGCUACUGAGGCUUUCAAGAACUCUCAAAGUCAAGAAUACAGUUAAAACUUAUACUGUCUGCCUCAAAACUUCAGUAAGACAAAUGCAUAAACAUAAGUGGUCUCUUCA